UAUUUGUCUUUUUGUGUGAGCCUCAUUCCACUUAGCAUAAUGUCUGCACAGUUCAUCCAUGCUGUAGCAGGUAUCAGAAUUUAAUUCCCUUUUUAGGGCAGAAUAAUAUUUCAUUACAUGUAUUACACCUUUUGUGUAUCCAUUCAUCUGUCAAUGGCCAUUUUGGUUGUUUCCACGUUUUGGCUAUUGUGACUAAUGUUGCAAUGAACAUGGGUGUACAAAUAUCUGUUCAUGUCCCUGCUUUCAGUUCUUUUGGGUGGAUACCAGAAGUAAAAUUGCUGCAUCAUAUAAUGGUUUUAUGUAAUGGUUUUAUGUUUAAUUUUUUGAGGAACUACCAUACUGUUUUCCACAGGGGUCACACAUUUUGUAGUCCCACCGGCAAUGUACAAAUACUCUAGUUUCUCCACAUCCUUACCAACACUAUUUGCUUUCUGUUUUUUGAUAAUGGCCAUCUUAUUGCUUCUCAGCCUUUCAGCUAAAUCAAACAAUAAUAGCAUCCUAAUGUAUGUAAAAGUAGUCUCUCAUUGUGGUUUGAUCUGCAUUUUCCUAACAAUUAGUGAUGUUGAACAUCAUUUCAUGUACUUACUGUCCAUUUGUAUAUCUUGGAAGUCUUUUGUACAUUAAAUUUUUUUUCUUAUUGGGUUGUAGUUCUUUCUAUAUUCUGGUUGUCACUUAUCAUGAAAUACAGUUGUCCCUUAGUAUUUGUGGGAGUUGGUUCCAGGACCCCCUACAGAUACCAAAAUCUGCAGAUGCUUAUGUCCCUGAUACAAAAUGCCUGGUAUUUGCAUAUAAUCUAUAUACAUCCUCACAUAUACUUUAAAUAAUCUCCACAUUACUUAUAAUACCUAAUACAAUGUAAUUGUUUUAUAAAUCAUUGUAAUGUAUUAUUUAGGGAAUAAUUUACAAGAAAAAAAGUCUGUACAUGUUUAGUACAGUUCUUUUCCAAAUAUUUUCAGUCUGUUGGUGGAAUCCAUAGAUGAGGAACCCAUGGAUACGGAGGGCCAACUGUAUUUUCUCCUGUCAUGUGGGUUGUCUUUUCACUCUGUUGAUAGUAUCCUUUGAUGGACAAACAAUAAUUUUAAUGAAGUCCAAUAAUUUUAAUGAAGCCAAAACAAUAAUUUUAAUGAAUUAUCUUUUUUUAAAUUGUUUUUAUUGCCUGUACUUUUGGUGUCUUACCUGUGAAAUCAUUGCCAAAUCCAAUGUUACAACGUUUUCUCCUAUGUUUUCUUCCAAGAGAAUUAAGGUUUUAGACCUGUAUGUAGAUCUUUGAUACAUUUUUAGUUGAUUUUUGUAUAUGGUGUAAGGUAAGUGUUGGAAAAAGCAGCAAAGGAAAAAGGACUUACAGAGUGCUUACAUAAAUUGGUUAUGAGUAAC